UGGGGAAUUUUGGACAAUGGGCGAAAGCCUGAUCCAGCAAUGCCGCGUGUGUGAAGAAGGCCUUCGGGUUGUAAAGCACUUUUGUCCGGAAAGAAAUCCUUGGCUCUAAUACAGUCGGGGGAUGACGGUACCGGAAGAAUAAGCACCGGCUAACUACGUGCCAGCAGCCGCGGUAAUACGUAGGGUGCAAGCGUUAAUCGGAAUUACUGGGCGUAAAGCGUGCGCAGGCGGUUUGCUAAGACCGAUGUGAAAUCCCCGGGCUCAACCUGGGAACUGCAUUGGUGACUGGCAGGCUAGAGUAUGGCAGAGGGGGGUAGAAUUCCACGUGUAGCAGUGAAAUGCGUAGAGAUGUGGAGGAAUACCGAUGGCGAAGGCAGCCCCCUGAGCCAAUACUGACGCUCAUGCACGAAAGCGUGGGGAGCAAACAGGAUUAGAUACCCUGGUAGUCCACGCCCUAAAACGAUGUCAACUAGUUGUUGGGGAUUCAUUUUCCUUAGUAACGUAGCUAACGCGUGAAGUUGACCGCCUGGGGAGUACGGUCGCAAGAUUAAAACUUAAAUGAAUUGAC
rnacentral:rRNA from 1 species